AUUGAACGCUGGCGGCAUGCCUUACACAUGCAAGUCGAACGGUAACGGGCCUUCGGGUGCCGACGAGUGGCGAACGGGUGAGUAAUGCAUCGGAACGUACCUUUCAGUGGGGGAUAACGUAGCGAAAGUUACGCUAAUACCGCAUAUUCUGUGAGCAGGAAAGCAGGGGAUCGCAAGGCCUUGCGCUGAUUGAGCGGCCGAUGUCAGAUUAGCUAGUUGGUGAGGUAAAGGCUCACCAAGGCGACGAUCUGUAGCGGGUCUGAGAGGAUGAUCCGCCACACUGGGACUGAGGCACGGCCCAGACUCCUACGGGAGGCAGCAGUGGGGAAUUUCGGACAAUGGGGGCAACCCUGAUCCAGCCAUGCCGCGUGAGUGAAGAAGGCCUUCGGGUUGUAAAGCUCUUUCGGCCGGGAAGAAAUCGUAUCAGCUAAUACCUGGUGCGGAUGACGGUACCGGCAUAAGAAGCACCGGCUAACUACGUGCCAGCCGCCGCCGUAACAC
rnacentral:rRNA from 1 species